GAAUGCCUAGAGCUGGAAAAUUCCAAUCGUAAGAAAACUUUGGAGGCUAGCGACCAGCGAGCAAUAUUAUAGCCGCAUUAGGCUAUUAGUAUCAUUAGCGUGGCAGUACGGCACGCCGUACGACCGAGUUUAUCCCCGACCGCAACCGACGCUACAAGCAAAACUCAAGGUUCGCUAUUCCACAGCUGCGACUCCUUCUGUCUUUCUUGCCUAAGCCAAAGGCUGAAACAUGAUGAUGUGGGACGAUUGGGGCGAUUGCCACCAGGACCAUGACCAAGACUCAGACUCGCACCUUAAUUUCGAUUUCCUUUCCCUUGUCUCCAAGCCCAAGGAUUACUAUAAAAUACUGGAAGUGGAUUAUGAUGCCUGCGACGACGCAAUUCGCUCCAAUUACAUACGCCUCGCUCUGAAAUGGCAUCCGGAUAAGCAAAAAAACCAGGAUAGUGCGACUUCGAUAUUUCAAGAGAUAAAUGAGGCUUACCACGGUUAGUGUCAUUCUCUAUUUGUUUCGGAAUUCUUUGUUCCAUAGCUCUAUUUCACUUUUGGUGUUGGGUGAAUGAAAGUUCUGCCAAGACUUACUAUGUUGUUUCUGACUUAAUUUUGGUCUUCAGAGUUACGUUUGUGUACACGCACGUUGUUAGGUGUUAUAGUAAUGGUGCAUUUUGCUGCAUCCUUCAUCAUGUCAUUAUGGCACGAGUGGCCUUUUAGGAUGACUAGCAAGACGUGUCAUGCUUGUUCCUCCUUAGGAGAUAGAUUAUGAAGAACUGAAAUUUUUAUUUUGUGCUAAAAUUUGGAGUAAGAGUGUCAUGUGACACAGGUUUUUAGAGUUGAAAGGUUUGUAUUUGGAAUGCUUGUGAUGGGUUAUACUCAUUAAUUUAAAAGAUUUAAGAGUGGAAGGGGUGGUCAGGUGCAAGAGAAGUCAUUGUAAUGGUGGAGCCAAAUGCAAUUUGAAAAAUAUGUGGUCUAUGACUCUAUGGGCAUUGUGGAUCGUCGAAUGAUAUAGGCGAUAUUCUGAGGAAACAAAAACAUCAUGUGAACUAAAAUCCCUUGCUGAGUUUUACUGGUACUCUCUUAUCAUGUUUUCAGCACAUUACAUAUGUUACAGAAAUCUUCUGCUCCCAUUUUGGCUAUCAGGUUUUCUAGCAACUCCUUUUGGAAAUAAUUUUUGUGGUAAUUGUGUCACAAAAACUUUUGCAUUUCAUGCUUCAAGAUGUGUUUGGGUGAUAUUCAUUUGUUGGCAUCUUCACUUGUUUACUAGAUUUCAAUUUUUUGUGAUAUAGUUUCCCUCUUUUCUUUUCACAUGUAUAUUUCAAUUAUAGCGCUUGUUGGUGUCACACCAAUUUUCAUGCUUGCAUGGAUAUGGUAAUGGGGUUCAAAAGAUAGCCUUAGAUUAAUGAAUAAAGCUCAAACCCAGAAAAAAAUAUGGUUCUUUAUUCUCUUACAUCUUUCUUUCUUUAUUUAUUUAUCUUUCCUCUAUGUAUCUGAUAGAGUAAGGAGCCAAAAAAUGGUAAAUUGAAAGUUUGUGGAAAAGAGAAAGGCAGCAAGAAGAGUGUUUAUUCAGUAAUUCAAAAAAACAGGUGGGAUACAAGAAGUUCGGGAAAAUAAUUCCAGAAUACCUCUCUCUCACUCACCCCAGCAGUAUGGUUAACUACCCCAGGCUUCAAAAGCUGGAAAACAAAUACAAUACCCAAAUCAUGCCCAUCCCUCACUCAUUCUCUUAAUUAUAUAGACUCUGGAGCUGCUGCAUUCAGAUGGUUCCCGCAUUCCUCUCCAACAACCCUAUUCCAGCUGUACCCUUCUAGAAUAUGCUUCUUCACAUUCUGUCCCUUUUUUAUCCAUAUCCCUAUCAGUAUCUUAACUUAUGAGAGGCAUGGACUCCUUUUUUUAUUCUCAUUUUUACCUUUUUUCCUAGUAUUGUUCUUCUUCCUUAUACACAGCUUGGACUCAGCCUAACUACUUUAUAUUUGUACCAAAUGUUGCCAGUUGAUUCCCAUUCAAUCAAUCAUCUCUCACAAAGAUUUCAUAUUGUAAUUUUAGCCCAACCAUAAGUGCUAAAAAUGUGCGGCUGCUCAACCCAUUGAUCAGCCUCCCUAUGGAUAUGCAACGUCAUUGUCUCUGACAGCAUAAUACAAUAUCAAUAUCAAUAUCAAGUCUUGAGUUAUUUCUUCUUCACUUCUGAACUCCCUACUCAUUGCUCUGUUUUCUGGGGUUAAGCAGAAGGACUACUGCCUCACUUGAUCUAAAGUAUUGGAGAAUUUUGGACUGGUUCAUACAAAAAUGAACUUAAUCCUAAAUUAUUUCCUUUCAAUUUUGCAGGUGCUGCAUAAUUGGAUUUGCAUAGGUGGUUGUUUGUUUAUUUUAUUCUGAGUUUGCUGGUUACUUUUUGAUAGGAUUCUGGGAAUAUGAAAGAAUUUAAUCAUUUAAUGGACAUUUGUUUGCAUUUGUCCUUUUUUGGGAUUAAUGCGAAAAAGGAUUGCUAAACCCAUCUAGUUGGGGAUUAAGACUUAGUUGUUAUUGCUAUCCUUUUUUGAUUUUUGAGGUCUCAUUUGCCAUUUUAGUGACAAUUCUGUCAAAUGGGUAAAGAGUGUCUAGGGAAAAUGAGAAGGUGUCUAUCUGAUGGAACUUUAUUCCCAGCUCAGGACCAACUUUCUUUCCUUCUCAAAGAUGGAAAAAUUUCCUGGUUUGAAAGGCAUUUCUGAUUUUUUUAUUAGGCAAACCAAAAGGGCUAAACAGAAAAGGAAGAAAGCCAUCUGUGGGUCAGCUUCUCUUUAUAUAUCUAUAUAUAUUCAUUGUUGUUUACCUGUAUAAAGUAGAUCUGUAGUUUAUGUAGUAUGCCAAUAUAUGAACUUACUCAAGUCAUCUGAUUUCUUUAUUCAUUCCAAUUGUUAAACUUGAUGAUGCAUAUCAAAGGCUUUUGAACAGGCAAUGCUAUAGUUAUUUCAACAGAGUGAGAUUUAAUUGCUCGUCAACCAAUAUCAGCAAUUUGCACUUUAAUAUUUUGCAGUGAGUACAAUAGUACACCAUAUGCUGUAAUGGUGAAACUUAGUUUCUGGGAUCCAAAAUCCAAAUGGCUCAAACUAAGUCUAUAUCUUAUAUGCAGGGGAUGCCUAUGAUUGUGACUAAUUACUCUUUCUUGUUCACUAUUUUACUACAUAUCAUGAAAAUCAGUGUCUCUUCACAUCAUCAAAGAGCAUUCUAGUCGCUUUAAGAUUGCGUCUUAGUCCUUAACCCUUUUGUCUUUUUUUCCACCGAAUCAAUUGACCACAUGGAUUCCUUAGCACAAUUGCAUUUGCAUUAUGAUGCCAAGGAGUUAUCUGGGUUGAUAAUACUGAAUUUAUCAAUUGAUUCAUUGAAUCUAAAUAUUGAAGAAUAAAGGCAAAAAAUAUCACAUAUAUGUUGUAGAAGUUAUCUUGCAUGCCUAGCUAGCAAUUGAAUCUUGCUUCUUUGAACAGUUUUGAGUGAUCCUGCCAGGAGGAGAGAGUACGACAAGAAAGGGCUGCUGUACAUCCAUGAUUAUAACAUAAUUGUAAUACUCUUCCCCAUUUAUUAUCAAGCUGACACCCUUUAAUCCUUUUUUCCAUUUUGGCUUAAUUACUUCAUUUCAUCUAUUGGCUGCAGGAUUAUCUUAAUCGUUACAAGGGCCUCAUAUUAACAUGUAAUGGUCUUGGG
rnacentral:misc_RNA from 1 species